GAUUUUGUGAGGCAGAUUCCUCAGAAAUGCUCUGAUUCCUACCCUCGCUCCCCAAGAUGGCUGGGGUGGAAGGAGGUGGCCUUUCAUUUCAAGCCUAGAGAAAAGGGUUCGACCCAAUGGGCUUCACGCAGCCUGAGGGUGGGAGAACAGGAAUGGAAACCAGAAGCUGCUGGCUGAUGAUCGCAGCCAGCAGAAGGAGACAUACCGCGGACCCCAUUCUAUGGGAUUCUGGAGGGAUUUACCCUCUCUGGAGGGCCACAUGAACAAAGCCUGGCCAAACAGAUACUGCUUACUGUCACCUGUGUACUUCUGGCCAAGUUGAUUCAGGAAAGGAAUCCAAAC